rnacentral:piRNA from 1 species
UACAAAACUAGAACCACUUGUAAAGGAUGGC